rnacentral:rRNA from 1 species
GCCCAGACUCCUACGGGAGGCAGCAGUGGGGGAUAUUGCACAAUGGGGGGAACCCUGAUGCAGCGACGCCGCGUGGGUGAAGGAGCGUUUCGGCGCGUAAAGCCCUAUCGGCAGGGAAGAAGGAGGACGGUACCUGAGUAAGAAGCCCCGGCUAACUACGUGCCAGCAGCCGCGGGAAUACGUAGGGGGCAAGCGUUAUCCGGAUUUACUGGGUGUAAAGGGAGCGUAGACGGCCAGACAAGUCUGAAGUGAAAAUCCAGCGCUUAACGUUGGAAGUGCUUUGGAAACUGCCGGGCUGGAGUGCAGGAGGGGCAGGCGGAAUUCCUAGUGUAGCGGUGAAAUGCGUAGAUAUUAGGAGGAACGCCAGUGGCGAAGGCGGCCUGCUGGACUGCAACUGACGUUGAGGCUCGAAGGCGUGGGGAGCACACAGGAUUAGAUACCCGCGUAA